rnacentral:rRNA from 1 species
GACGAACGCUGGCGGCGUGCCUAAUGCAUGCAAGUCGAACGCGUUCUUCGGAAUGAGUGGCGCACGGCUGAGGAACACGUGACUAACCUACCCCGGUGUGGGGGAUAACGGGUCGAAAGACUCGCUAAUCCCGCAUACGAUAUCCUUUGGAUAGGAAAGCCGUAAGGCGCACUGGGCGGGGGUCGCGUCCCAUUAGAUCGUUGGUGUGGUAAUGGCGCACCAAGUCGAUGAUGGGUCUCUGGUCUGAGAGGACGACCAGACAGAUUGGGACUGAGACACGGCCCAAACUCCUACGGGGGGCAGCAGCAAGGAAUUUUCGGCAAUGGGCGCAAGCCUGACCGAGCAACGCCGCGUGGAGGAUGACGGCUCUUGGGUUGUAAACUCCUUUUGGGGGGGACGAUGAUGACGGUACCCUCCGAAUCAGGCCCGGCUAACUACGUGCCAGCCGCCGCAGUAAGAC